rnacentral:rRNA from 1 species
CCUACGGGCGGCUGCAGUGGGGGAUAUUGCACAAUGGGGGAAACCCUGAUGCAGCGACGCCGCGUGGGUGAAGAAGUAUUUCGGUAUGUAAAGCCCUAUCAGCAGGGAAGAAAGAAGACGGUACCUGACUAAGAAGCCCCGGCUAACUACGUGCCAGCAGCCGCGGUAAUACGUAGGGGGUGAGCGUUAUCCGGAUUCACUGGGUGUAAAGGGAGCGUAGACGGCCGUGCAAGCCAGGAGUGAAAGCCCGGGGCCCAACCCCGGGACUGCUAUUGGAACUGUGCGGCUGGAGUGCGGGAGGGGCAGGCGGAAUUCCUGGUGUAGCGGUGAAAUGCGUAGAUAUCAGGAGGAACACCGGCGGCGAAGGCGGCCUGCUGGACCGCGACUGACGUUGAGGCUCGAAAGCGUGGGGAGCGAACAGGAUUAGAUACCCUUGUAGUC